UGCCUGCAGUGUGAAUCGUUUGAGUUGGCAAGAGAAGCUGGUAACUCUGCGUGCUGAGUCACGGACAGAUAUUUCCAGGACAAGACUCCAGGAUAAUACCUAGGAUAUUGGACAUGAAGCAAAGGGCAUCUUUCUGAAUAGAGGAUAAAGUGCAGUAUGAUAUCUGAUGUCACUGUAGUAAGGUUAAAUGAGGUUUCGUCCUUGGAGGCUGGUUAGGUCCUCCUAGACACGCCACAGAAGGCCGAAUAAAACUCACUUUUUUAUGCUUGAGUGUUCAGUUUCUUUAAGCCUCUUCUUAUUACUACAAUAUAAACAAUUAAACAUUUAUUACCCACCCUUGUAUUUCAGAUUUAGAAAUGUUGGUGUUUGGAGCACGAUGUAAAGAAAUGUGACACGUGGGCACAAAUUGGUGCCUUCCCUUCAAGCUUCAGGCUAAAACUUGCAUCUAUAGCUUUUGUCAUUGUUUAUCUGAGUCUAAAAUAGAAAAGACGAUUAACAGACCAUGCUUCUCCUCUCUCUUCCUGAUUACGUAACCUCCGUGCCUCUCUUUCCCAGCUGGCUCCAGCUGCCUGCAUGAGCAGAGAACUCACCAGGAGCAUGCACUCCCUCUGCUCUGUCACUACUUUUACUGGACUGACAGGAAAGAGAAUAUUCCUCAACUUUGUUCACCCGCUAUGAAGGAUACUAGCUUUACAUAAUAAAAAAUGGGAACCUUGAUUGCAGCUGGACACAGGGCCACUGAGAAUACAAGGCGUUGUCUUCCAGACUACCGUGAAAGUGGUGGCCACAAGACUCAAUUCCGGCUAAAGAAAUGUAAGGCUGCUUAAAGCCAGUUAAUGUAACCUGGGGGAGAGGGGGCACUUUUUGCCCUCUGUUUUUCUUCAUUCUUCUGUCCUGCUACACAGAUGCACUGACUGGAGCCCAGCAGCCAUCUAGGACCAUGAAGAGACCUUGAGGAUGGAAAGGAUGUGUACUAGAAUAGAGAAGGAGAAAGAUGGGAGCCUGGGUCCCUGAUGAAACUGAAAACUGUGGAGUCCUAUGCCAGCUUUAGCUUCCACACCAGCACUUCAUUUUUGUGAAAGAGAAAUACACUGUUAUCCUUUUAUCUUGAUUAAGCCUCUAUUAUUUUUGGGAUUUUGUAUUAUAUGCAUCUGAAUUUAACCUGAAUAAAUGAG
rnacentral:lncRNA from 1 species